UCCCGUGAUCCUGAAGAGUGAGGUGGGCAUCAGAGCGGACGGAGACGCUGAAGAGGGACUUCAGGAGCCUGAUCAAGACAGUGCGCAGCAUAUCGCCUGCAUGAUGAUAAUAGUGUCAGGACCACUUCCCACGUAUAGAUGAGGACAUGAAAGGUUCAGCAGACUUUUUGCUUUAAACGAAUGGUUAUAGUCAUGGUGUAAAGAACAGAAACUGCCUUUUGUUAAUAAUUGGAAUCUUUUCUGGGAGCUAGGCUUUUUAGAUCUCCUGUUGGACAACAUCUCCAGGACACUUCGCUCCAUAUGACUAGGCAGUUUGUGAAAAGAGAUAAUCAAGAGAAGUCAGUUCCAGAUCCACCCUCCACACCAGACCUCUCUCUCACGAGGAUUGCUGUCUACUAGCAUAUUGUGUUCUUCAGCUCUUCAGACUUCGGUGGAUGCAGAUAUUACUCAGGGACAUGAACACUAGAAUAUUGCAAGAAUAGAGAAAAGGGACUUUGCGGGGGAUUCUUGAAAAUAGAUUAGCUUCACACAGACGUCUUCUAACUG